rnacentral:rRNA from 1 species
GAACGCUAGCGGCAGGCUUAACACAUGCAAGUCGAGGGGCAGCGGGGAGGAAGCUUGCUUUCUCCGCCGGCGACCGGCGCACGGGUGAGUAACACGUAUGCAACCUGCCCCUGUCAGGGGGACAACCCGCCGAAAGGCGGGCUAAACCCGCGUACAUGCCACCGGGGCAUCCCGGAGGCAGGAAAGGCUUCGGCCGGACAGGGAUGGGCAUGCGGCGCAUUAGGCAGUAGGCGGGGUAACGGCCCACCUAACCGACGAUGCGUAGGGGUUCUGAGAGGAAGGUCCCCCACACUGGUACUGAGACACGGACCAGACUCCUACGGGAGGCAGCAGUGAGGAAUAUUGGUCAAUGGUCGGGAGACUGAACCAGCCAAGCCGCGUGAGGGAGGAAGGUACAGAGUAUCGUAAACCUCUUUUGUCAGGGAACAAAGACUGGGACGCGUCCCCGGAUGAGUGUACCUGAAGAAAAAGCAUCGGCUAACUCCGUGCCAGCAGCCGCGGUAAUACGGAGGAUGCGAGCGUUAUCCGGAUUUAUUGGGUUUAAAGGGUGCGCAGGCGGUCUGUUAAGUCAGCGGUCAAAGCCCGGGGCUCAACCCCGGCCCGCCGUUGAAACUGGCAGUCUCGAGUUGGAGAGAAGUAUGCGGAAUGCGCGGUGUAGCGGUGAAAUGCAUAGAUAUCGCGCAGAACUCCGAUUGCGAAGGCAGCAUGCCGGCUCCACACUGACGCUGAGGCACGAAAGCGUGGGUAUCGAACAGGAUUAGAUACCCUGGUAGUCCACGCAGUAAACGAUGAAUGCUGGCUGUCCGGGGGGACUGACCCCUGGGUGGCGAAGCGAAAGCGAUAAGCAUUCCACCUGGGGAGUACGCCGGCAACGGUGAAACUCAAAGGAAUUGACGGGGGCCCGCACAAGCGGAGGAACAUGUGGUUUAAUUCGAUGAUACGCGAGGAACCUUACCCGGGCUCAAACGGGGAGUGGCGCAGGCAGAGACGCCUGUUUCCCACGGGACACUCCCCGAGGUGCUGCAUGGUUGUCGUCAGCUCGUGCCGUGAGGUGUCGGCUUAAGUGCCAUAACGAGCGCAACCCCCGCGUGCAGUUGCUAACAGUCAACGCUGAGGACUCUGCACGGACUGCCGGCGCAAGCCGCGAGGAAGGCGGGGAUGACGUCAAAUCAGCACGGCCCUUACGUCCGGGGCGACACACGUGUUACAAUGGGUGGUACAGCGGGAAGCCAGGCGGCGACGCCGAGCGGAACCCGAAAUCCACUCUCAGUUCGGAUCGGAGUCUGCAACCCGACUCCGUGAAGCUGGAUUCGCUAGUAAUCGCGCAUCAGCCAUGGCGCGGUGAAUACGUUCCCGGGCCUUGUACACACCGCCCGUCAAGCCAUGGGAGCCGAGGGCGCUUGAAGU